rnacentral:rRNA from 1 species
ACUCAAAUGAAUUGACGGGGACCCGCACAAGCGGUGGAGCAUGUGGUUUAAUUCGAUACGACGCGCAGAACCUUACCAAGGUUUGACAUGGAGGGCAAUGUUGAAGAAACUCAACGGAGGUUAUCCCAACACAGGUGGUGCAUGGUCAUCGUCAGUUCGUGCUGUGAAGCGUACGCUUAAGUGCUAGAACGAACGCAACCCUCAUAUUUAGUUGCUAUCAUUUAGUUGAGAACUCUAAAUAGACUGCUAAGACAACUUAGAGGAAGGAGAGGAUGACGUUUGAUCAUCAUGCCCCUUACACCUUGGGCUACACACGUGCUACAAUGGUUAGGACAAAGGGUCGCUAACUCGCGAGAGGGAGCUAAUCCCAAAAAACUAACCUAAGUUCGGAUUGGAGUCUGCAACUCGACUCCAUGAAGUCGGAAUCGCUAGUAAUCGUGAAUCAGCAAUGUCACGGUGAAUACGUUCUCGGGUCUUGUACACACCGCCCGU